CGGGAUUGUGGUUGGUUUCCUUUAUUGGAAUCUGACCACGAGAACCUGUCUAAACCUUAUCAUUUAGAGGAAGGUGAAGUCGUAACAAGGUUUCCGUAGGUGAACCUGCGGAAGGAUCA
rnacentral:rRNA from 2 species